UACAGAGGAGCCAAGCGUUGUCCGGAUUUAUUGGGCGUAAAGAGCGUGUAGGCGGCCUGACAGGUCAGCUGUGAAAACUCGAGGCUCAACCUCGAGACGUCGGUUGAAACCAUCUGGCUAGAGUCCGGAAGAGGAGAAUGGAAUUCCCGGUGUAGCGGUGAAAUGCGCAGAUAUCGGGAAGAACACCCGUGGCGAAGGCGGUUCUCUGGGACGGUACUGACGCUGAGACGCGAAAGCGUGGGGAGCGAACAGG
rnacentral:rRNA from 1 species